rnacentral:rRNA from 1 species
GACGAACGCUGGCGGCGUGCUUAACACAUGCGAGUCGAACGGAAAGGCCCUGCUUUUGUGGGGUGCUCGAGUGGCGAACGGGUGAGUAACACGCGAGUAACCUGCCCUUGACUUUGGGAUAACUUCAGGAAACUGGGGCUCAUACCGGAUAGGAGCUACUGCUGCAUGGUGGGGGUUGGAAAGUUUCGGCGGUUGGGGACUGACUCGCGGCUUAUCCGCUUGUUGGUGGGGUAGUGGCUUACCAAGGUUUUGACGGGUAGCCGGCCUGAGAGGGUGACCGGCGACAUUGGGACUUAGGUACGGCCCAGACUCCGACGGGACGCAGAAGUGGGGAAGAUUGCAGGAGGGGCGGAAGCCUGAUACAGCAACGCCGCGUGCGGUAUGACUGCCUUCGGGUUGUAGACCGCUUUCGCCUGUGACGAAGCGUGAGUUGCGGGAAUGGGUAAAGAAGCACCGGCUAACUACGUG